rnacentral:lncRNA from 7 species
CCCCGAGUUUGUUCCAAUGACGCAUUAGACUCGCUCGCAUUUGCUGGCAUUCAGCCAAGCUGACUCCUCCUGCCUAGGUCCCAUGCCCUGCCCCUAUAUAAAUCGGUCAAGACAUCCCCUUCAUCAUCAGAGGUGAACUAGACCGAGACCAUACCAUCCUGUGUGGAGCCAAGCUUCGCCGGGAGAGCUGAGGAAGGAGAAAUGACCGCCGCCGUCAUUGUGCACAUACACCCACGACGAAGUCCCCAAGUCAGGCCUCAGCUUCACCUAGUCCUUGGGAUGGCGUGCAUGGACUUGCCGGGCGCAACAGGUGUGCGGAGCGUUCGGAAUUUCUUGCCGACGUGCUCAGAUCACCGCAAAGCCGCUCCUCAACAUCGACGGCCUCACUGAUGCCCUGAACCGAGGUGAGAUAUUCUCCAUGUAGUUCUCCUCCAUCUUCUUUAUGUGUAGCACCUCCCAGAUCGGUGUUCGAGUGCGGGAUUUGAAGUUUGGGAAAACUUCAGCGAGGGCACCGCUGUCUGCUGUCGUCGUAGAGGGAGGAAGGGCCGAUGGUUGUCCAUCUCAAGCGAGUGACUGAGAUUAGACUUGCCACACUCGUCAGACGUGGAUUUGAUGGCCCAGAUGCAUCCGCAGGUUAUAACAGCCAUAGUCUUUUUCAUGAGUCCAUAGGAUUUUCUCAAAAUAUCCCACCACCCGCAUCUAUUAGGAAUGUAUUAAAUAUAAGUCCUAGAAUUUUGAAAU